AAUAGAUACCCUGGUAGUCCACGCCGUAAACGAUGAGUGCUAAGUGUUGGGGGGUUUCCGCCCCCUCAGUGCUGCAGCUAACGCAUUAAGCACUCCGCCUGGGGAGUACGGCCGCAAGGCUGAAACUCAAAGGAAUUGACGGGGGCCCGCACAAGCGGUGGAGCAUGUGGUUUAAUUCGAAGCAACGCGAAGAACCUUACCAGGUCUUGACAUCCCGCUGCCCGGUAUAGAGAUAUAUCUUUCCCUUCGGGGACAGCGGUGACAGGUGGUGCAUGGUUGUCGUCAGCUCGUGUCGUGAGAUGUUGGGUUAAGUCCCGCAACGAGCGCAACCCUUGAUCUUAGUUGCCAGCAUUUAGUUGGGCACUCUAAGGUGACUGCCGGUGACAAACCGGAGGAAGGUGGGGAUGACGUCAAAUCAUCAUGCCCCUUAUGACCUGGGCUACACACGUGCUACAAUGGAUGGUACAAAGGGCUGCAAGACCGCGAGGUUUAGCCAAUCCCAUAAAACCAUUCUCAGUUCGGAUUGCAGG
rnacentral:rRNA from 1 species